AUUGAACGCUGGCGGCAUGCUUUACACAUGCAGGUCGGACGGCAGCACAGAGAAGCUUGCUUCUUGGGUGGCGAGUGGCGAACGGGUGAGUAAUAUAUCGGAACGUACCGAGUAAUGGGGGAUAACUAAUCGAAAGAUUAGCUAAUACCGCAUAUUCUCUGAGGAGGAAAGCAGGGGACCUUCGGGCCUUGCGUUAUUCGAGCGGCCGAUAUCUGAUUAGCUAGUUGGUGGGGUAAAGGCCUACCAAGGCGACGAUCAGUAGCGGGUCUGAGAGGAUGAUCCGCCACACUGGGACUGAGACACGGCCCAGACUCCUACGGGAGGCAGCAGUGGGGAAUUUUGGACAAUGGGCGCAAGCCUGAUCCAGCCAUGCCGCGUGUCUGAAGAAGGCCUUCGGGUUGUAAAGGACUUUUGUCAGGGAAGAAAAGGCUGUUGCUAAUACCGACAGCUGAUGACGGUACCUGAAGAAUAAGCACCGGCUAACUACGUG
rnacentral:rRNA from 1 species